AUGCCCUCUGAUGUAGGCUCUUCUAAACAGAGGGCUUUCAAAUAUUUAAAGGAUAGGGUAUGGAACAAGGUUACAGGAUGGGUGACAAAACUUUUCUCUUCGGCUGGCAAAGAGGUUUUGAUCAAGUCAGUGGCUCAGGCGGUUCUAGUUUACUCUGGGUCGUGUUUCAAAUUACCGAGAGGCUUAUGUGAGCACCUGAAUAAACUCAUACGACAAUUCUGGUGAGGAAGCAAGGAAGGCCAAAGGAGGUCCUCAUGGGUUUCUUGGAAGGACAGGACCCAACCAACAUUUUUGGGUGGAUUGGGAUUUAGGGAUUUCGAGCUCUUCAUCCUAGCGCUGCUUGCUAAACUGGCGUGGCACAUUCUACAAUAUCCUGACACUCUUUGUCCCAUGAUGUUGAAAGUUAUUUAUUUCCAUGCUAGUAAUAUUUUGUCAGCCGAAGUUGGGAACCAUCCUUCGCAUAUAUGGCGAGCAAUAAUUGAAGGAAUAUAUGUGCUAAGCCAAGGCUUGAACCGAAGAGUUGGGGACGAUUCUUCCGUCGAUAUUUGGUUGGACAACUGGAUCCCUAGAGAUGAAAACAUGAGACCGAUUGUGUGCCUCGUGGCGGUCCGCCCCACCCUGGUUAGUGAGCUCAUAAAUCAUGUUGAGGCCUCGUGGAAUAGGGAGGUAUUAAAGGAAACUUUUCUCCCCGCCGAUGUGGAUGCAAUCUUGAGCAUACCGCUUUGUACAAGAAAUAAUGAGGAUUUUUUGGGCAUGGAAUUUCGAGAAGACUGGUUUGUUCACAGUGAGGUCGGCGUACCGCAUGCUCACCCACAAAGAGCACAUGCGGGAUGA
rnacentral:rRNA from 1 species